rnacentral:rRNA from 1 species
AGCGAACGCUGGCGGCAUGCCUAACACAUGCAAGUCGCACGGGGGGGCUUCGGCCUCCCAGUGGCGGACGGGUGAGGAACGCGUAGGGACCUGUCGAGGGGUGGGGGAUAACCGCGGGAAACUGCGGCUAAUACCGCAUGACGCCGCGGCGUGACAGCCGGGGCCAAAGGCGAAAGCCGCCCGCCGAGGGGCCUGCGUCCGAUUAGCUGGUUGGCGGGGUAGCGGCCCACCAAGGCGUGGAUCGGUAGCUGGUCUGGGAGGGUGAUCAGCCACACCGGGACUGAGACACGGCCCGGACUCCUACGGGAGGCAGCAGUGGGGAAUAUUGGACAAUGGGCGCGAGCCUGAUCCAGCAAUGCCGCGUGGGUGAAGAAGGUCUUCGGAUUGUAAAGCCCUUUCGGCGGGGACGAUGGUGACGGUACCCGCAGAAGAAGCCCCGGCUAACUUCGUG